ensembl:lncRNA
GUAAUGAAUCUGAGGAUCGAAGGAUGUAGUUGCGCCAAUGAGAGGAUGUCAAACUGAGGAUUCCGCCUCACGCUUUUAAACCGUCCCACAGGAAACAUGCUGUCUGCGUCGGACACCGGAGCAGAAUCAGAGCUCUCGGAGCCCAGAGACGAAUCCACUGAGCCUUCAUCAAACGUCUGCGAAUGCCUCGCUCAGGAGAGAAGCACCGAAUCGGACCGUUUGAAGCCUUCAUCGUCAUCCAGCUGUUGGUCCAUGUGUUCCCAGCCUGCACCAAAGGACGAUGAUUUCAGGGUGUGCCGGUGUUUCGGCUCAUCGGAACCUGCGUUCCCUCGUUUACCUCACUUCUCUCGUGACCUUAUUUCAGCUGUAUCUGAGUCUUUUUCCGAGUUACGCCAUAAUCGAAACACAGCGGCCUCCUCUUCUCUCACACAAGGAGGUGUUACACCUCAACCUUUUGGGGCCAUGUCAUCUGCUUCGCAGGGUUUGAUGGAGCCAUUUGUCACUGAGCCUCUUUCCAGCUCUGAACACAGUCCAGAACCGUAUCUAUUGAGUUCGUUUUCACCUCAGUCCGACAGCUUGGAGCGUCAUUCAGCUACAGCGCCUCUUCCAGAACUUUACAUCUCUGAAAGUGAGACGCAGGACUUCAUCCUGAGCCCUCACCAAGAUCCCCGGGAAUUUCAAUGGCCCGAAUACCACCAGUGGGAAGCGGGGGGGCGAAACGCCGACUGCCAUACACAUCAUUUCCCGAUGCGCGAUUCAGACAACGAGGUGACGCGAUGUCGUCUCGGCUCCAGACGAGAGGAACGAGCCACGCUGGACUGUGAGUCAGACGCGAGAGCACCUGCUGCGGCAGCCUGUGCGGAAGCCUUGGUGCCGGUAAAUGACGAGAGGCCAGGGCAUGCACAGACCACUGACUUGACCCCCCAACCACAGCAAAGCCCCAGCCCCGUCGAGCUGUGGCUGGAUGCAUGCCAGUAUCUGGCAGGUGAGGAUACGGAGGACCUGAACGUUUUGGACAAGGCGAGGUAUUCCGUGAUCCAAGGAGGCCUCGCCAGGGACUCGUCUUUCCCCCCGGGGGACACAAAGGUGUCAGGUUACAACCUUGACGAUAGCGAGGGGAUUGGCUGGUCCAGCGAUGACACCAUAUGUUGGGGGCCACCGGUUGAGAGGUGGUCAUCCGUGGACAGCUGGGCCAGCGCACUCUCAGACUGGAGCGGGAUUAUCGCGGCUCCGCCGGAGGACUUCGCGGCUGCCUUCACAGAGAUAGGGGCAGAGAUAGAUGCUCUGACACAGGCGCUAGCUGAGGUAAACACUCAUUUAGAAACAGACCCCCCCAAAGAAGACAAGGGUCAAGGGCCAGCAGUCAGGGCGCAAUCACAGCCACCCAUGGGCCUCCAGGAUCAGCAUUUAGAGGCGCAAAACCCGACCGAGAGCUCCAUCCUCUCUGGGCAGAGCUGUCGCUCCUCGUGCCCGGAGGCUGCAGGACCCGAGCUCGGAGACAGAGAGAGAUGUCAGAGCGUCGAAUCGUUGUGCGAUUCGACAGCCGGCGCCCAGGACGAAAAGGAGGCGGAAGAAAUCCAGAACAUCCGGGUUGAGCGCUCGGCGCACCGGCGCUCUUCCGCCGGGUCAUCCUGGGAGACCGUGGCCGCUCCCGGAGGAGGCGGCGCAGAGGUGAUCCCUGGAUCCACUCCUUCCGCUGAUCUGAACCCUCCUCGAUUUGGCGAGCCAGACCGUUUCUUCAACAACAAAGUAGUUUCCAUCCUACUGAAUAUAGUAGAAGAUACCGAUUUGGAGGGACGAGAUACACCUGGAGAUCUGAUGAUUGAGAAGUUGCGCCGGCCAACGGAUAAAUCAGUCAUGCGCUUUGGAAACAUGUCCAGAACGUUAAGAGACAUUCCCGCUCCUGCCCUUGUCGGUGUUGACAUACCUACAGCAUUGACUGACAGCGGGCAGCCCUUUGGAGAUGAAGUGUGUGAAGUGACAGACAAACACAGUGUCUCCCGGCCGCGCUGGUUGACUGAGCGGGAAGUCGAAAGGAGCCGCGGGCCAGCUGAGGUUGAUCGGGAAGGAACUCUUCGUUUUCACGCCACGCGCGCUUCGGCAAACUCACACGUGCCAGGUGAGCACGCGGGAGCUGGCUCGCGUACCAAUGUUGGCACACGCGCGCCGCCUGACACUUUACCAGACCUUGACGAAGGGCGUCAGGUGGAGCCACGAUGGGCAAGUCCUAAGUUCAUAAUGCCCUUAGCCCCGCUCGGUAUCUCGGCCCUGGCACCCCACGUCUGUCGGACAAGCAGAAGUUUGGAAGGAGAUCAAACUGGUGCAAAAAGGUCCCUCAAUGACAACAGGGACCCCAGUUGUGACCGCACACAGGCCUGCGCUCACAGGCCGACCUCGGAGGGGAUCGCUGAUAUAAAAUCUUCGAAUGGUGAUGAGUUGAGUCAUGAAAAGGGAACUAAAAUAAAGUAUACUGAGAAGUCUUCAAAAAAGGGACAAGUGGACUUGAUCCCGACAUGUAAAACAACAACUGAGGAGAUCCACGAGCUCAGCGGAAGACUCUCAGACCUGGCUGAUGCCCCCGCAGAUCAGUUCUUUGUCUCACAGAAGAAGCGCGUUGCAUUCAUCACUUUAGAUUUGAAUGACCCAUUUGUCUCCAGGGCUGCAAAACCCAUCGCCAAAUGCACACAGUCCGACUUGAAUCAGACGAAAGCUGAGAAGAUGCCACGCAAAACACACAAAACUACCUCGGAGAGCAAAGCACGCUCUAAAAAGGACAAAACAGCUGGUCAUUAUCACGGAACACAAGCUUGCAAGAAACAGGAGGCUUUAUCUCAUCAUGUUUCCGCCCAGCAGGUCUGUAAACAGCAAGAAACUCAUCCUCUCACCGGGGAAAACCACACUGGCGAGAAUAAUCAAGUCGGGCUGCUGGAUAAGGAGGCCAAAUUGGUGAUUGACGCUGGUGCGACAACUGAGAAGGCUCCGAGCAAACCACAUGGCAAGAAGAAGAAGAAAAAACACCGGGCUGAAUGGUGUCGGGGAGCCACUGGUGGAGGUGGAGAACGGAGCGAAACCAAAGACAGCGAAAGGGAGGAUUGA